rnacentral:rRNA from 1 species
GACGAACGCUAGCGGCGUGCUUAACACAUGCAAGUCGAACGGAAAGGCCCUGCUUUUGUGGGGUGCUCGAGUGGCGAAAGGGUGAGUAACACGUGAGUCACCUGCCCUUGACUUUGGGAUAACUUCAGGAAACUGGGGCUAAUACCGGAUAGGAGCUCCUGCUGCAUGGUGGGGGUUGGAAAGUUUCGGCGGUUGGGGAUGGACUCGCGGCUUAUCAGCCUGUUGGUGGGGUAGUGGCUUACCAAGGCUUUGACGGGUAGCCGGCCUGGGAGGGUGACCGGCCACAUUGGGACUGAGAUACGGCCCAGAAUCCGACGGGAGGCAGGAGUGGGGAAUAGUGCACAGUGGGCGGAAGCCUGAUGCAGCAACGCCGCGUGCGGGAUGACGGCCUUCGGGUUGUAAACCGCUAUCGCCUGUGACGAAGCGGGAGUGACGGUAAUGGGUAAAGAAGCACCGGCUAACUACGUG